UUUUUGUAUUAUUAAUAAAAAAUAAUUUCUGCUCAAUGAUUAUUAAAUAGCCGCAGUACUUUGACUGUGCGAAGGUAGCAUAAUCAUUUGCUUUUUAAUUUGAGGCUUGUAUGAAUGGGAAAAUGAGAGUUUUUCUGUCUUUAUUUAAGGGAUAAAAUUUGGUUAUUUUGUGAAGAAACAAAAUUGAGGUAAAGGGACAAGAAGACCCUUUUGAUCUUUAUUUUUUUUUAUAAUUUUUGUUUUAUUUUAAGAAAAUUUGGUUGGGGCGAUCAAGGAAGAAAAAAUCUUCUUUUUUAAAAGGAUUAAAGAUCCAGAAUUUUUGAUUGAAGGAUUAAGUUACCAAAGGGAUAACAGCGUGAUUUUUUUUGUGAGUUCUUAUUAAAAGAAAAGAUUGCGACCUCGAUGUUGACUUAUUAUUACUUUUUGGUGUAGCAGCUGUAAAAGUGGGUCUGUUC
rnacentral:rRNA from 1 species